GCAGCGGUGUCCGAGUGGUUAAAGAGUUUGACUCGAAAUCAAAAGGUUCGGAUCCUACCCGCUGCG
rfam:Brugia malayi, FR3, WGS project CAPY01000000 data, contig: ctg1509724m